GUUCCAUCAAACUUUAUUCAAUGCAAUAUAUUAAAUUCAAGAAACAACUCUAUUUUUCUACCUUCAAAUUAACUCCUCUCAUCUAAUUCUAUACCAAAUUCUUCUCUAUUUCCCCCCCUGUUAUAAUCACACAAUUAAUUCUGCACUAAAUUUCCCUUCUCCUACACAUUAUAUAAAUCUUGUCAAUCUUUUCCAUUUUCUCCAAACAACUCCCUUUUGCCUAUACAAAGAUUCAGGGGAUUCUUGAUAAAGUUGUUCAAAUUAGAAAGGAAAAAAAAUGAACUACAGAAGGGAGAGUAGUCAUGAUCCAAAGCUUGAUUUGAAGCUGAAUUUAUCUCCACCUAGGGAAAAUAAUAAUAAUAAUAUUUUUCCAAUAUCACCAAGCAGAUCAUCGUCAUCGUAUACUUCUUCAAUGGAAAGAUCACCAGCAAGUUCGUGUAUUUCAAGGGAACCUACUCCAGAUGAUCAUAAUCAUCAACAAUUUUUUGGUAGCCCAGAAGCAACAACUACUUCAAUGAUGUUAGUGGGAUGUCCAAGAUGUUUAAUGUAUGUUAUGUUAUCAGUCAAAGAUCCAAAAUGCCCAAAAUGUAAGAGCUCUGUUUUGCUUGAUUUUUUCCGCGAGGAUAGAAUCAAGAAUACAAAAAAUUGAUGAUCAUCGUGAAGAAAUGCGAGGAAUCUCAGUAGUUCAGUUGGUUGACUUUUUGAACUGUCAUGGUGACUGUGAUUCCUCAGUUGGUUGACUUUUUGAACUGUCACCUUGUUGGUGAGAGUUGGAUUUCUCAGCUAAUUAAAAAAAAAUAAUAUAUAUAUAUAUAUUAUAUAUAAAACCCUUUACUGAGGUUAAUUAGGUUUUAGUAGUGUUUAAUUUCUUUAUAUAUGUUGUAAUCCCUUUUGUCUUUUUGGUUGCUUAGAAGAUAGAAGGGAGGAAAGAACUUUUUUUUUUGAGAGUUUGUUGAGGUAAUUGAAUGGAUUUGAUGAAAAUCUUGAAUGUAACCAAAGAGGCUAGUAUGGUUUUGGUUGCAAGUCAUAUUAUGGUCAUAAUAUUAAUUCAUUCAUGUUUUAGUAGCUCUUGGUUGCUAUCUUUACUAAA